rnacentral:rRNA from 1 species
AGUCUGACGACCAUAGCCGUGCGGUACCACCCCUUCCCUUCCCGAACAGGACCGUGAAACGCACUCGCGCCGAUGAUAGUGAGGUCCGCCCUCGUGAAAGUAGGUCAUCGUCAGACUA